rnacentral:rRNA from 1 species
GAAAGCAGGGGAUCGUAAGACCUUGCGCUUUUGGAGCGGCCGAUGUCUGAUUAGCUAGUUGGUGGGGUAAUGGCCUACCAAAGCUUCGAUCAGUAGCUGGUCUGAGAGGACGGCCAGCCACACUGGGACUGAGACACGGCCCAGACUCCUACGGGAGGCAGCAGUGGGGAAUUUUGGACAAUGGGCGCAAGCCUGAUCCAGCCAUGCCGCGUGAGUGAAGAAGGCCUUCGGGUUGUAAAGCUCUUUCAGCCGGGAAGAAAAGGCUGCGACUAAUAAUCGCAGUUCAUGACGGUACCGGAAGAAGAAGCACCGGCUAACUACGUGCCAGCAGCCGCGGUAAUACGUAGGGUGCGAGCGUUAAUCGGAAUUACUGGGCGUAAAGGGUGCGCAGGCGGUUUUGUAAGUCAGAUGUGAAAUCCCCGGGCUUAACCUGGGAACUGCGUUUGAAACUACAAAGCUAGA